CUACGGGAGGCACCAGUGGGGAAUAUUGCACAAUGGGCGCAAGCCUGAUGCAGCCAUGCCGCGUGUAUGAAGAAGGCCUUCGGGUUGUAAAGUACUUUCAGCGGGGAGGAAGGGAGUAAAGUUAAUACCUUUGCUCAUUGACGUUACCCGCAGAAGAAGCACCGGCUAACUCCGUGCCAGCAGCCGCGGCAAUACGGAGGUGCAAGCGUUAAUCGGAAUUACUGGGCGUAAAGCGCACGCAGGCGGUUUGUUAAGUCAGAUGUGAAAUCCCCGGGCUCAACCUGGGAACUGCAUCUGAUACUGGCAAGCUUGAGUCUCGUAGAGGGGGGUAGAAUUCCAGGUGUAGCGGUGAAAUGCGUAGAGAUCUGGAGGAAUACCGGUGGCGAGGGCGGCCCCCUGGACGAAGACUGACGCUCAGGUGCGAAAGCGUGGGGAGCAAACAGGAUUAGAUACCCCUGUAGUC
rnacentral:rRNA from 1 species